rnacentral:rRNA from 1 species
CCUACGGGAGGCAGCAGUGGGGAAUAUUGCACAAUGGGCGAAAGCCUGAUGCAGCAACGCCGCGUGAAGGAAGAAGGCCUUCGGGUCGUAAACUUCUGUCCUUGGGGAAGAAGAACUGACGGUACCCAAGGAGGAAGCCCCGGCUACCACCGGGCCAGCAGCCGCGGUAAUCCGUAGGGGGCAGGCGUUGUCCGAAUUUAUUGGGUUUAAAGGGUGCGCAGGCGGAAGAUCAAGGCAGCGGUAAAAUUGAGAGGCUCAAGCUCUUCGAGCCGUUGAAACUGGUUUUCUUGAGUGAGCGAGAAGUAUGCGGAAUGCGUGGUGUAGCGGUGAAAUGCAUAGAUAUCACACAGAACUCCGAUUGCGAAGGCAGCAUACCGACGCUCAACUGACGCUCAUGCACGAAAGUGUGGGUAUCGAACAGGAUUAGAUACCCCGGUAGUC